rnacentral:sRNA from 1 species
ACGAGUAAGAAAAGAAAAAGGAAGUUAUGAGGAUUAAUAACCAUCAAGACCGAACUGUCAAAAUUUUGUUGUUAGGUCAUAACAACGUUCCCAAAUGAUCCCAGCAAUAAUAAAAAAAAAUAUAUGAAAAAGACACAAAUAUUUUUGAACUGGAAAGUAUAAAAAGCCAGAGGUAAGCAGGCAUUGGGUGUACAGCUGAUGCUUUGAGACUCUUACAAACGUGAUACCGAGCAAGACUUGACUUCUUCUCUUUGCUUAAUUCAAGUGCCAGACAACUUCUUCCAAGUCAAAAUGAACAUCCUGGCACGUCUCUCAAUUGUGGUCUUGCUUUCCAUGUGCGCCUUCAUAGCAGUAGAUGCCCAAAUACCGUUUCCAUUCGGGUUCGGGAGCGAGGAAAGAGGCUUUAAUCCAGCAUGUUUCCAGUGCUUGACAAGCAACGGCACGGACUCGGCCAGUUGUUUUUCAUGUGCCAUCAGUACAUUUUUCAGAAGAGGAGAUUAAGACUGACACUUAAUACACGGCUGCAAUUAGUAAUGUCUAUAUAUAAAAAAACUAAGAAUCCACUUGUAAAUACCUAUAUACUGUAAAAAUUCGACAAGAGAAAAUGUUUAAAUAAAUGAUCCUACAAGUAA